rnacentral:rRNA from 1 species
GACGAACGCUGGCGGCGUGCUUAACACAUGCAAGUCGAACGGAAAGGCCCUGCUUUUGUGGGGUGCUCGAUUGGCGAACGGGUGAGUAACACGUGAGUAACCUGCCCUUGACUUUGGGAUAACUUCAGGAAACUGGGGCUAAUACCGCAUAGGAGCUCCUGCUGCAUGGUGGGGGUUGGAAAGUUUCGGCGGUUGGGGAUGGACUCGCGGCUUAUCAGCUUGUUGGUGGGGUAGUGGCUUACCAAGGCUUUGACGGGUAGCCGGCCUGAGAGGGUGACCGGCCACAUUGGGACUGCGAGACGGCGCAGAAUCCUAUGGGAGGCAGUAGGGGGGAAUAUUGCACAAUGGGCGGAAGCCUGAUGCAGCAACGCCGCGUGCGGGAUGCCGGCCUUCGGGUUGUAAACCGCUUUCGCAUGUGACAAAGCGUGAGUGACGGUAAUGGGUAAAGAAGCACCGGCUAACUACGUG